AUUCUGAGUGCGUCCUGGCGAGUCUCAGCCCCCAAGCGGGUGGAACGCACCAAGGGUCUCAUCCGCGAGGAAGGGCUUUAACGCUCAGGGUCAGGAACCUCUGAGAGCUCUUGGGGACUUGCGCGCCCUUGGAUGCUCUUGCGUUCAACAGGGCUAGGAGACUACCGGCUGGGGCGAGGAAUGCAGGCGCCUAGAGCCUUGGAGCUCCUGAAACGUUCCUGCCGCCUCCGGAAAGCAAGGGCAGUUUACCGAAGUGACUGAGGCCAAGUAUUUGCAGCACGGGCAGGGACCAGUAACUGAUUUUCAGGCCUUUUGAGAGGAAGAGGAAGAGAGAGGAAGAGAAGGAUUUCUAAUAGUAGAUAUUCACUCUCAUGGACUCUUUAGGAAACAGCAACAAAGACAAGAUUAAGAACACCAAAUUGUGUGACUAUCCACACAAAAAAGCAUCUUCAUAAGAACCAAAAAUCAGAGGGCAAGGAAAAAGGCUGAAUGCAAAACCAGAAUGUCAACAGGGUGCUAACGGAGACCAAUGGAAGGGGCAACUGACUCUCCCCAGGGAAGGUAGGCAAGGAGAUUGAGGGAAGUAGCAAUGAAAGGAGAGCUUGCAAAAUGAAGUCAUCAGAGCUUUGCAUAAGAAACAAUUCAUGGACCUUAGAUCAAGUAGUGAGGAUUAAAACUAUGUCUAUGUGAGGCUUUGGCUAGUUUUUCUACCUAAGACAUCCUUACCUCUCCUUUCCACUUGGGAAUCAUCUUCCUUUCCUAACCAUCAUCAUCAACCCUCAAGGCAGUCAGGGGCAUCUGUGGCGCAUUCCCCCAGCACUUGGCCCCACACAGCCAAGCUCUAACACCUACCCACCCCACUGCUAUUUCCCUCUCAUAAGCUUUAAGUUGUGGGGGAGCAGGUUAUUUUGUCUGACUCACAUAGUUCCUGUGUGGGGGUACCUACAAAUUUUGGAAGCCUGUGGCUUAUAAAACUUUGGGGCUCUAUUUAAGGAAAGGAAUACAAAAUUUUAAAUAUAAAAUUUGAUAGAAAAAUGAAUAUGUCUUUAGAACAAAAACCCAAGUAAAUGCCACCUUAUUGAAGGCUGGCAAAAUGCCACAAAUUCCAGGUAAAUUAUAUAAUAUUUUUAUUAAUAAAUUAUCUAAUCAACCGCUAUAGUAACU
rnacentral:lncRNA from 1 species